GAAAAAGAAAAAGAAGAAGAAGAAGAAGAAGAAGAAGAAGAAGAAGACGACAGGGGCCACUGUCAACAUCAGCUUUACCAUUAGUUUCAUCACUGGCCUCUGGAGGAAAUGGUGCUCUCCACUGCAGUCCCUCCGGUGGACACUUCCAUACUUCUGUUGUCUGUAAGGGUUUCUACAGAUAGUUCAAAGGAACUGUGCUGUAAGAAGUCAACUGCAGGCACUUUCCAGGUUAUUGACUGGUUCACUCUCUGUGUCCGAAGCAUCCCAUCCAUCUGUAUGCUCCCUUAAUUGCCUUGCAACCGGGAA